GAUGAACGCUGGCGGCGUGCCUAAUACAUGCAAGUCGAGCGAGCGGCGGACGGGUGAGUUAUGUCUGGGCAACUGCCUGAUGGAGGGGGAUAACUACUGGAAACGGUAGCUAAUACCGCAUACCAUCAGAUGUGCCCAGAUGGCAUUAGCUAGUAGUUGGGGUAAUGGCUCACCUAGGCGACGAUCCCUAGCUGGUCUGAGAGGAUGACCAGCCACACUGGAACUGAGACACGGUCCAGACUCCUACGGGAGGCAGCAGUGGGGAAUAUUGCACAAUGGGCGAAAGCCUGAUGCAGCCAUGCCGCGUGUGUGAAGAAGGCCGUCGGGUUGUAAAGCACUUUCAGCGAGGAGGCGUUACUCGCAGAAGAAGCACCGGCUAACUCCGUGCCAGCAGCCGCGGUAAUUC
rnacentral:rRNA from 1 species